AAGAAGCGAAAGUGACGGUACCUGCAGAAGAAGCGCCGGCUAACUACGUGCCAGCAGCCGCGGUAAUACGUAGGGCGCAAGCGUUGUCCGGAAUUAUUGGGCGUAAAGAGCUCGUAGGCGGCUUGUCGCGUCGGUUGUGAAAGCCCGGGGCUUAACCCCGGGUCUGCAGUCGAUACGGGCAGGCUAGAGUUCGGUAGGGGAGAUCGGAAUUCCUGGUGUAGCGGUGAAAUGCGCAGAUAUCAGGAGGAACACCGGUGGCGAAGGCGGAUCUCUGGGCCGAUACUGACGCUGAGGAGCGAAAGCGUGGGGAGCGAACAGGAUUAGAUACCCUGGUAGUCCACGCCGUAAACGGUGGGCACUAGGUGUGGGCAGCAUUCCACGUUGUCCGUGCCGCAGCUAACGCAUUAAGUGCCCCGCCUGGGGAGUACGGCCGCAAGGCUAAAACUCAAAGGAAUUGACGGGGGCCCGCACAAGCGGCGGAGCAUGUGGCUUAAUUCGACGCAACGCGAAGAACCUUACCAAGGCUUGACAUACACCGGAAACAUCCAGAGAUGGGUGCCCCCUUGUGGUCGGUGUACCGGAAA
rnacentral:rRNA from 1 species